UUCCUUUCAUGCCUCUAUGUAUCAUUUUCAAUAUGCUUUAUAUUAGUAAAAGAAGUAAAAACAUAGAAAGAAGAACAUGGAGAGAAAAGGAGAAAAUUUGUGGAAAGAAGAAAAGAAGAACUUGGAGGAAUCAAAACAUGAAACCAUCAUCAUCAUCAUCAUUUCAUCUCUACAUCUUACAACAACAACUUCUUCAUCUCAUUAGCCCUUUCUGAUGGAAAUGACUCUUGUAUUGGUGACCUAUAUGCUACUUGAAGAAAUCAUGCAGACAAGAGGAGUCUUGAAGAUCUUAAAAAUUAGGCCUUGGAAGAAUUAGGAAUUAUGUUUAAAUCUUUUUUUUUAUAAGAUCAAAUGACACUAAUAAUAUUCAUGCUACUUGUAAACCUUUGUGGCAAAGCGAAUCUUAAUCAUAAACGAUAUGAAAAGAAAAUUUAUGACA